rnacentral:rRNA from 1 species
UGGGGAAUAUUGCACAAUGGGCGCAAGCCUGAUGCAGCCAUGCCGCGUGUGUGAAGAAGGCCUUCGGGUUGUAAAGCACUUUCAGCGAGGAGGAAGGUGGUGAACUUAAUACGUUCAUCAAUUGACGUUACUCGCAGAAGAAGCACCGGCUAACUCCGUGCCAGCAGCCGCGGUAAUACGGAGGGUGCAAGCGUUAAUCGGAAUUACUGGGCGUAAAGCGCACGCAGGCGGUUUGUUAAGUCAGAUGUGAAAUCCCCGGGCUCAACCUGGGAACUGCAUUUGAAACUGGCAAGCUAGAGUCUCGUAGAGGGGGGCUAGAAUUCCAGGUGUAGCGGUGAAAUGCGUAGAGAUCUGGAGGAAUACCGGUGGCGAAGGCGGCCCCCCUGGACGAAGACUGACGCUCAGGCUGCGAAAGCGUGGGGCAGCAAACAGGAUUAGAUACCCUGGUAGUCCACGCUGUAAACGAUGUCGAUUUGGAGGUUGUGCCCCUUGAGGCGUGGCUUCCGGAGCUAACG